rnacentral:rRNA from 1 species
GGGGCUUGGUGUAUUCCGGGUUCGUCCUGGUUUGCAUCUAGCGCGGUAACGCAACCGACCUCGGAGACGUCGGCAAGAGUUCUGGGAAGAGUUCUCUUUUCUUUAUUAGGAGUGCAUAUCCCCUGGAAUCGGUUUGUCCGGAGAUAGGGGACUAGCCUCCGUAAAGCACCACCCCUCUUGUGGUGUCCGGAACGCUCUUGUUGGCCCUUGAAAAUCCGAGCGAGGCAAUAUAAUUUUCGUGACCGGCCGUACCCAUAUCCGCAUCAGGUCUCCAAGGUGAACAGCCUCUGGCAAUUGAACAAUGUAGGUAAGGGAAGUCGGCAAAUUGGAUC